rnacentral:ncRNA from 1 species
ACAAUGAAGAGUUUGAUCCUGGCUCAGGAUGAACGCUAGCGGCAGGCCUAAUACAUGCAAGUCGAGGGGUAACAGGAAGUGCUUGCACUUCGCUGACGACCGGCGUACGGGUGAGUAUCGCGUAUACAAUCUGCCUCAUACUAGGGAAUAGCCCGAAGAAAUUUGGAUUAAUGCCCUAUAGUAUCUUUUUAAGGCAUCUUAUUAAGAUUAAAGUUUUCGGUAUGAGAUGAGUAUGCGUUCUAUUAGCUAGUAGGUGUGGUAACGGCACACCUAGGCUACGAUAGAUAGGGGCCCUGAGAGGGGGAUCCCCCACACUGGUACUGAGACACGGACCAGACUCCUACGGGAGGCAGCAGUGAGGAAUAU